AGCUGGCAGUCUGGAGAAGAAGCUGAGGAGGAGAAGCAGGACCGUGUAGAUCUGACGGGGUCCUGCACAUUCCUCCCCCCCCCCCCUCUCCUCUCCUCUCCUCCCAUAGUCGCAAGGGACAAGGUGUAGGAGGCUUGUAGAACGACGAUCUUACACACAGACACAGCCAGGAAGCCUUCAAGAUGGGCAACCGAGGGAUGGAAGAGCUGAUCCCGCUGGUUAACAAGCUCCAAGAUGCCUUUUCAGCUAUCGGACAGAAUGCCAACCUAGAUCUGCCCCAGAUCGCUGUGGUGGGGGGUCAGAGUGCUGGAAAGAGCUCGGUCCUGGAGAAUUUUGUGGGCAGGGAUUUUCUGCCUCGUGGAUCUGGAAUUGUCACCCGCAGACCCCUCGUCCUGCAGCUGGUAUUUAGCACCACAGAAUAUGGGGAGUUUUUGCACUGUAAGGGGAAAAAGUUCACGGACUUUGAAGAGAUCCGGUCGGAGAUUGAGGCUGAGACUGACAGAGUCACUGGGACUAACAAGGGCAUCUCUCCUGUGCCAAUUAACCUUCGAGUAUAUUCUCCAAAUGUGCUUAACCUGACUCUGGUUGACCUUCCGGGUAUGACCAAAGUCCCAGUAGGUGACCAACCUGUGGAUAUUGAGAUGCAGAUCCGUGAUAUGCUCAUGCAGUUUGUCACCAAGGAGAACUGCCUCAUUCUGGCAGUAUCUCCAGCCAACUCUGAUCUGGCAAACUCUGAUGCCUUGAAAAUCGCCAAAGAAGUGGAUCCCCAAGGACAACGUACUAUCGGAGUCAUAACCAAAUUAGAUCUCAUGGAUGAAGGGACAGAUGCUAGAGAUGUUCUGGAAAAUAAAUUAUUGCCCCUGCGAAGAGGUUACGUUGGCGUGGUGAACAGAAGUCAGAAGGACAUUGAUGGCAAGAAAGAUAUCCAAGCUGCUUUAGCAGCUGAAAGGAAGUUCUUCCUGACACAUCCAUCUUAUCGACAUCUCGCUGAACGCAUGGGGACUCCGUAUUUACAGAAAAUUCUCAAUCAGCAACUGACCAAUCACAUUCGGGACACUCUACCAGGGCUGCGAAACAAGCUGCAGAGCCAACUUCUGUCCAUCGAGAAGGAAGUGGAUGAGUACAAGAAUUUCCGUCCAGAUGAUCCAUCUCGUAAAACCAAGGCUCUUCUCCAGAUGGUGCAACAGUUUGCGGUCGACUUUGAGAAACGUAUUGAAGGCUCCGGGGACCAGAUUGAUACCUACGAGCUUUCCGGUGGUGCGAGGAUUAAUCGAAUCUUCCAUGAACGUUUCCCUUUUGAGUUGGUGAAGAUGGAGUUUGAUGAGAAGGAUCUGAGAAGAGAGAUCAGCUACGCCAUCAAGAACAUCCAUGGCAUAAGAACUGGGCUCUUCACACCUGACAUGGCCUUUGAAACCAUCGUCAAGAAGCAAGUGAAGAAGAUCAAAGAGCCGUGCGUGAAAUGUGUCGACAUGGUCAUAUCCGAGCUAAUCAGUACCGUUAGACAGUGCACCAAGAAGCUAAGUCAGUACCCGCUUCUACGGGAGGAGAUGGAGAGGAUUGUCACUACGCAUAUCCGGGAGAGAGAGGGGCGCACAAAGGACCAAGUCAUGCUGCUGAUUGACAUCGAACUUGCCUACAUGAACACAAACCAUGAAGAUUUCAUUGGCUUUGCUAAUGCACAGCAGAGGAGCAGCCAAACGAAUAAGAAAAAAGCCUCUGGAAACCAGGUCAUUCGGAAGGGAUGGCUCACCAUCAACAACAUCGGUAUCAUGAAGGGAGGGGCCAAGGAGUAUUGGUUUGUGCUGACCGCAGAGAACCUGUCCUGGUACAAGGACGAUGAGGAGAAAGAGAAGAAGUAUAUGCUUCCUCUGGAUAAUCUGAAACUGAGGGAUGUCGAAAAAGGAUUUAUGUCCAGCAAAUAUAUCUUCGCUCUGUUCAACACUGAACAAAGGAACGUUUACAAGGAUUACCGUCAGCUGGAGUUGGCCUGCGAGACUCAAGAGGAGGUGGACAGCUGGAAGGCCUCGUUCUUACGUGCUGGUGUCUACCCGGAGAGAGCUGGGGACAAGGAUAAAGCUAGCGAGUCCGAUGAGAACGGCUCUGACAGCUUUAUGCAUUCUAUGGACCCUCAACUGGAGCGGCAGGUGGAGACCAUCCGCAACCUGGUGGAUUCCUACAUGGGCAUCGUCAACAAGACCAUCCGGGACCUCAUGCCCAAAACGAUUAUGCACCUCAUGAUAAAUAAUACGAAAGACUUCAUCCACUCGGAGCUCCUCGCCAACUUGUAUUCGUGCGGUGACCAGAAUACACUGAUGGAAGAGUCGGCAGAACAGGCACAGCACAGGGAUGAGAUGUUGCGCAUGUACUAUGCCCUGAAAGAAGCCUUAAAUAUUAUCGGCGACAUCAACACGACAACUACCAGCACCCCUAUGCCCCCACCCGUAGAUGACUCUUGGCUACAGGUGCAAAAUGUAGCCACAGGGCGCAGGUCUCCUACAUCAAGCCCUACUCCACAAAGGAGAGCACCCGCUGUACCUCCAGCCAGACCCGGCUCACGAGGACCAGCACCAGGUCCACCUCCACCUGGCACCACACUUGGGAGUGCACCACCAGUUCCAUCUAGACCUGGGGCAUCCCCAGAUCCUUUUGGUCCACCUCCCCAGAUUCCCUCUAGGCCUAACCGUGCCCCUCCUGGUGUCCCUAGCAGGAAGGCUCCCGCAUCACCUACACGACCCACCAUUAUCCGACCUGCCGACCCGACCCUCUUAGAUUAAAAAAAAUAAAAAUGGAGGCCUGACUGGCGAACACAGCUUUCUCCCCCCCCCCCAUCCCUUCUCCCGAUCACCCCCCCGCCAUCACACCUAUUUCGGGCAUGGUGAAAACACCCCCACCCCCAAUAUGUUGUAUACACUGGCUCAGUGUCACCGUGUAUUGUAUUGUACAGAUGUGUGGUAUCGUCCCUUUGCAGCGCCAUAUUGUGAUGUUUAAACACCUGCAAUGUCUGGUUGAUAUAUAGAUAUAUAUAUAUAUAUAUAUUUUAUUUCUUUCUUAUUUUCUUCCCCCCCCCCUCGGACUCGAUGCCACUGCACAUCCAGCUUAUAGAAAUGAUUUUGUUGUGUAUCAUGUUAUUAUGUUGUACGAUUUUUCUUUUGUAUUAAAAAGAUGUCAAUGAAGCGAGAGCGAUGUAACGAGUAGCCAUUGCUGAACUACAGUCUUCCCCCACCUCCCCCGACCCAUCAUUUGUCCUAUGGAAGCCCUUUUGUCCAUGCUCGCUGUGCUUCUGCCGCCCUCUUGUGACCCACUUUUGUUUUGCACCCCCCCCCCCCCUCUGCUGCAUGAUCCAUCUGAAAGAACACAAACUGUGAAAAUGUUCAUUCCCAUCGAAUAAAGAAGGGUCAUUCAUCACUUCUGAUGAUUUUAAUUAAAACAUUUUGCAAUUAGAUGACGAAUUACAGGGUAUGGAUUUUAUUCCCUUUAUUAUUAUUAUUCUUUUUAAUUUCCUGUUUUGUGUUUUAAAGGGGUGGUUUACCUGUGAUCAGUUCCGUACGAAUGAGCAGAAUAUCGUCUUGCGGAUAUAGUAUAGGUAUAUAAUAAAACCGCUCUGAAUUGCUACAUUUUCCUAUGCAGGUACGGUGUAUCUGUGUGGGGGCAUAUCAAUGGGAGACAUGGUCACAGGUAAACUAUCCCUUUAAGGGGGGGGUAGAUGCUCCACUUGUAUGCACCCCACAGUAAGUGCCAGAGGCGUUAGUGUUUUUAAAGGAAUGAUGACAAUAGUAAUAGACAAGGGACAGUGCAAUUGGAUAAGAAUGUGCCCCUUUAAUUACGGACAUGUAUGAUUUUUAAGGACAACUGUCAUUAUGUUGUGUGUCAAGGGCUAUAAAUGUAGUGUAAAGUGAUGCAUGGUUUUGGGCCCUGAAGGACAGAGGUGGAACAGUGCUCAUCAAUUUUGCUAAAAGUUGUUUUUGGGCAUAGAAUAAGAAUAGAAUUUUAAUGUCUAGAGACCGCCACUUCCUGGUUGCUGGCCCUAGGAUGUGUAGAGAGUGGCAGUUCCUGGUAGGUGGUCAUAGGGUCCACAGACGCUACCAUUGGGUCUUGAAAGAGUGCCACCUCCUGGAUACUGAUCCUAUGGAUUGUAGAGCGUACCAUCUCCUGGCUGCAGAGCCUAAGGUUUGUAGAGAGUAUCAUCUCCUAACUGCUGACCCUAGGGCUUGUAGAGAGCACCACCUCCUGGUUGCUGACCUUAGGGCUUGUAGAAAGCGACACCUCCUGGUUGCUGAUCCUAGGGCUUGUAGAGAAUGACACCUUCUGGGCUUCUGAUUUUAGGGCUUGUAGAGAGCACCACCUCCUGGUUGCUGAUCCUAGGAACUGUAGAGUGCCACCUCCAGGUUGCUGAUCCUUGAGCUUGUAGAGGGUGCCACCUGUUGUUGCUGAUCCUAGGGCUUCUAGAGAGCACUGCUUCCUGGUUGCUGAUCCAGUGGCUUGUAUACAGCGACACCUCCUGAUUGCUGAUCCUAGAGAUUGUAGGGAGCACCACCUCCUCCUGGUUGCUGAUCCAAGGGCUUGUAGAGAGUGCCACCUCCUCGUUGCUGAUCCUAGGGCCUCUGUAACUACACUAAACAAUUCCUCUCUUUGUUUCGUUUGCUUGUGACUGACCUUUUCUUUCCCACUUUCUCCCCUUUUCUUUCUUCCUGUGAUCAGAGCCACCAGAGUUAGCCCAUCCAGGCCAGAGAGUCCUAAGCCUCAGUAUGACCUGUAAGCCUCCCUGGGCCUAGACUGUUGUCCGCUUCCUAGCUGUGAGUGUGUGACACUUACCACACUGUCUGUCCUGUCGUACGAUGGUUGUGCUACACGCAUAUGAUUAUUCCUAUACGAAUCUCAUCUUCUGUUCCUUGCCUGUCUGUGGUAGUGGCAUAUCCUGAUAUAAAUAUAUUAUAAAUAAAUCUAAAUAUAUAUAUAUAUGAGAUCUUCAAGAUAUGUAAGCCAGUGUGCUUCCAUGUGAAUUUCAGUCUUUAGUAGGACGUAAAUCCUGUGGAGAUGAAUGGACGUCAAACAGUUGGCAGCUGGAUCUGUUGCUCUGCAUGUAAAAGGAUCAUCAAUUUGGGGAAGAAGUUCUUGGUGCUGGUGUUUAUCUGUGAAACCCAUCAGAGCGUUGAAUAAAAUAUGUUUCUGUAAAAAAA